rnacentral:rRNA from 1 species
UACGUAGGGUGCAAGCGUUGUCCGGAAUUAUUGGGCGUAAAGAGCUCGUAGGUGGUUUGUCGCGUUGUCCGUGAAAACUCACAACUCAAUUGUGGGCGUGCGGGCGAUACGGGCAGACUGGAGUACUGCAGGGGAGACUGGAAUUCCUGGUGUAGCGGUGGAAUGCGCAGAUAUCAGGAGGAACACCGGUGGCGAAGGCGGGUCUCUGGGCAGUAACUGACGCUGAGGCUCGAAAGCGUGGGGAGCAAACAGG